GACAGAGGGGGCAAGCGUUGCUCGGAAUCACUGGGCGUAAAGGGCGCGUAGGCGGGAUGGCAAGUCAGUCGUGAAAUCUCUCGGCUCAACCGAGAAACGUCGGCUGAUACUGCCGUUCUUGAGGGAUGCAGAGGAGACUGGAAUUCCAGGUGUAGCGGUGAAAUGCGUAGAUAUCUGGAGGAACACCGGUGGCGAAGGCGGCAUCCUGGACCGGUAUUGACGCUGAGGCGCGAAAGCCAGGGGAGCAAACGGG
rnacentral:rRNA from 1 species